rnacentral:rRNA from 1 species
GAUGAACGCUGGCGGCGUGCCUAAUACAUGCAAGUCGAGCGAACAGACGAGGAGCUUGCUCCUCUGACGUUAGCGGCGGACGGGUGAGUAACACGUGGAUAACCUACCUAUAAGACUGGGAUAACUUCGGGAAACCGGAGCUAAUACCGGAUAACAUGUUGAACCGCAUGGUUCAACAGUGAAAGACGGUCUUGCUGUCACUUAUAGAUGGAUCCGCGCCGCAUUAGCUAGUUGGUAAGGUAACGGCUUACCAAGGCAACGAUGCGUAGCCGACCUGAGAGGGUGAUCGGCCACACUGGAACUGAGACACGGUCCAGACUCCUACGGGAGGCAGCAGUAGGGAAUCUUCCGCAAUAGGCGAAAGCCUGACGGAGCAACGCCGCGUGAGUGAAGAAGGUCUUCGGAUCGUAAAACUCUGUUAUUAGGGAAGAACAAAUGUGUAAGUAACUAUGCACGUCUUGACGGUACCUAAUCAGAAAGCCACGGCUAACUACGUG